GAUGAACGCUGGCGGCGUGCCUAAUACAUGCAAGUCGAGCGAACAGACGAGGAGCUUGCUCCUCUGACGUUAGCGGCGGACGGGUGAGUAACACGUGGAUAACCUACCUAUAAGACUGGGAUAACUUCGGGAAACCGGAGCUAAUACCGGAUAAUAUAUUGAACCGCAUGGUUCAAUAGUGAAAGACGGUUUUGCUGUCACUUAUAGAUGGAUCCGCGCCGCAUUAGCUAGUUGGUAAGGUAACGGCUUACCAAGGCGACGAUGCGUAGCCGACCUGAGAGGGAGAUCGGCCACAUGGGAACUGAGAAACGGCCCAGACUCCUACGGGAGGAAGCAGCAGGGAAUCUUCCGCAAUGGGCGAAAGCCUGACGGAGCAACGCCGCGUGAGUGAUGAAGGUCUUCGGAUCGUAAAACUCUGUUAGUAGGGAAGAACAAAUGUGUAAGUAACUAUGAACGUCUUGACGGUACCUAAUCAGAAAGCCACGGCUAACUACGUG
rnacentral:rRNA from 1 species